rnacentral:lncRNA from 1 species
CUCAGUGUGGAUGACAGAUCAUUUGUACCUAGAGAAGUUCUUACGUGGGAGGUUUGAUCCGCUUGAAAAGGAAGCAAAUCCAACAGCCAUAAAUGCUUUAUAUUGGGAAGUGAAGAAAUAGCUCCUUAGGAGGCUGUACCCCAUAACGCACGGAAUCCUAAGCUAUGCUACAAUAGUGGUGUGCCUUGGCUAUGAGGAGAACUAACCUCGAAGAUUGCAUAGCUAUUAGUGGGAAAGAGGAAAGGAUGGCAACCCAUGGCUUG